GUGCUUGCUUUGGCAGCACACAUACUAAAAUCGGAACGAUGCACAGAAGAUUAGCCUGGCCCCUGCACAAGGAUGACACAGAAACUCGUGAAGCAUUUCGUAUUUUU